AUCAAAUCAAUUCAAUUGGGGAAGGAGUUGCAGAGAGAGAGAGAGAGAGAGAGAUACGUAAGUCUCGUCGGAGCUCGAGCUUCUUCCGAGUAGGUGGGUGGAUCGGAAUCGGAAUCGGUAUCGGUAUCGGAGAGCUCUGGCUCGCGAUAUCUGGAAACGGCUGUUCCCGUCCCGGACCAGCAGCAGGUUCCCGCUCCCUCCUCCUCCUCCUCCGUCUCCGAUCGGAUGCGGAUGCGGAUGCGGAAAUGCGAUGGACAUCAACCUCUUCAAGCUCUGCUCCGGCCUCAAGUUCCUGGGCUACCUGAUGAUCCUCCUCGUCCUCGCCAUCGUCGUCGUCUCCUACUACGCCGUCGUCCUCCUCACCUGGGGUCCCCGCCUCCUCCAGGGCGGCCUCUCUUCCUUCCUCGCCUUCUUCCUCCUCCUCCUCUUCCACCUCCUGCUCCUUCUGUUAUCCUGGAGCUAUUUUAUGGUAGUUUUGAGGGAUCCAGGUUCAGUCCCCGAGAAUUGGAGACCGGUUCGGGACGAAGAGAAUUUUGAGGGUGAUGGUUCUUAUUUACCACAUGAGGCCUCAGGGUCAGCUUCUACCUGGCCUUCCUCAAAUGGAUUGGAAGGAAGACCGCCUUCGGGAUUCUGCAUUCGUUGUCAAAAUGGAAAGCCGCCUCGGUGUCACCAUUGCUCUAUUUGCCAGAGAUGCGUUCUUAAGAUGGAUCACCACUGUGUUUGGGUUGUGAAUUGCGUUGGUGCAUGCAACUACAAGUUCUUUCUUCUUUUCCUGCUGUAUACCUUCUUGGAGACAACAAUGGAUACUUUCGUACUGCUUCCAAGUUUCAUCGAUUUCUUUAGUGAAGCCAAGAAUCAUUCCGACUCUCCUGGCAAACUGGCUGUUAUUUUCGUGGCAUUUGUUCUUAAUCUAGCUUUUGCACUGAGUCUUCUUUGUUUCCUUGUUAUGCACGGGUCUCUUGUUUUCAGCAACACCACUUCCAUAGAGGUUUAUGAGAAGAAGAAAGGGGUAAGGUGGAAGUAUGACUUGGGCAGGAGGAAGAAUUUCGAACAGUCAUUCUAUCAAUGGUGUUAACUGUUGCUCAGCAAUUUUAUCCCUUGGUCAUUAUGAGAUUUCCUUAAAAUUGGAAAAGAGCUGUUGGAUCCUCUCUUAUGUUGGCCAAAAGAUGAAAAUUUAUAGGGAGGUUUUUGGCACCAAAAAAGCACUGUGGUUCUUUCCAUUACUUUCAGAGGAGGAUUUGGGAAAAAUACCUGCACUUCAUGGCCUAGAGUUUCCAACUCGCUCUGAUGUUGAGGUGUAGAAGUCUGAAUCAGUCUUCAGGGGUCAUAGAUGUUGCCCUUAAAUGGCUAGAAUGGAGCUGACAAUCCUAUCUCGUGAGUUGUUGGUUUGCCUGUACAUUCUUUCUUCGAAUAUUGGUUCCAUGAUGCAAAUUAUUCAUUUGAGCGGGUGAUGCAUCUGAAUGUUUGAAUUGAAGUUCUCAGGCUGUCAGCUGAAAAAAAGAAAAAAAAGCGAGAAACUAAUGGAAAUUACGUACUGAAAGUAAUAUUUUACCCA